rnacentral:rRNA from 1 species
GAGGGUUUGAUCCUGGCUCAGAUUGAACGCUAGCGGGAUGCCUUACACAUGCAAGUCGAACGGCAGCACGGACUUCGGUCUGGUGGCGAGUGGCGAACGGGUGAGUAAUGUAUCGGAACGUGCCCAGUAGCGGGGGAUAACUACGCGAAAGCGUAGCUAAUACCGCAUACGCCCUACGGGGGAAAGCAGGGGAUCGCAAGACCUUGCACUAUUGGAGCGGCCGAUAUCGGAUUAGCUAGUUGGUGGGGUAACGGCUCACCAAGGCGACGAUCCGUAGCUGGUUUGAGAGGACGACCAGCCACACUGGGACUGAGACACGGCCCAGACUCCUACGGGAGGCAGCAGUGGGGAAUUUUGGACAAUGGGGGAAACCCUGAUCCAGCCAUCCCGCGUGUGCGAUGAAGGCCUUCGGGUUGUAAAGCACUUUUGGCAGGAAAGAAACGUCGCGGGUUAAUACCCCGCGAAACUGACGGUACCUGCAGAAUAAGCACCGGCUAACUACGUGCCAGCAGCCGCGGUAAUACGUAGGGUGCAAGCGUUAAUCGGAAUUACUGGGCGUAAAGCGUGCGCAGGCGGUUCGGAAAGAAAGAUGUGAAAUCCCAGAGCUUAACUUUGGAACUGCAUUUUUAACUACCGGGCUAGAGUGUGUCAGAGGGAGGUGGAAUUCCGCGUGUAGCAGUGAAAUGCGUAGAUAUGCGGAGGAACACCGAUGGCGAAGGCAGCCUCCUGGGAUAACAC